GAAAGUCUGACGGAGCAACGCCGCGUGAGUGAUGAAGGCUUUCGGGUCGUAAAACUCUGUUGUUAGGGAAGAACAAGUGCUAGUUGAAUAAGCUGGCACCUUGACGGUACCUAACCAGAAAGCCACGGCUAACUCCGUGCCAGCAGCCGCGGUAAUAGGAGAA
rnacentral:rRNA from 1 species